rnacentral:rRNA from 1 species
AGUGAUCCUACGGGAGGCAGCAGUGGGGAAUCUUGCGCAAUGGGCGAAAGCCUGACGCAGCCAUGCCGCGUGAAUGAUGAAGGUCUUAGGAUUGUAAAAUUCUUUCACCGGGGGCGAUAAUGACGGUACCCGGAGAAGAAGCCCCGGCUAACUUCGUG